rnacentral:lncRNA from 1 species
AAACGUUAAUCUUGAAGGAACAAAAAUUUGUUCAUGAGCUGUCAUGCUCGCUAGGCGAGCAGAAUCGGUCGCCAAGCGAGUCCCACGAAAAGCCACCAGAAUCACCUACGCUCAGAGGAAUUUCUUGAACUGUCAUGCUCGCUAGGCGAAGCCCACGCGUUUUGAAAAUAAAGAAAUAAAAUAAAAUAAAAACGAAAAAAAAGAAAAAAAAGAAAAUAAAAGAAAAAAGAAGAAAAAGAAAAAAAAAGAAAAAAAAACGGAAAAAAGAAAGAAAAAAAAAUACGGAAAAAAAUUAAAUAAAUAAAUAAAUAAAAUAUAACAGAAAUAACUUGGACUUGGACCUCUCUCUUUUGAGCCCACAAAAAUCAGGUUAUAAAUUCUAGACUUCCAUCUCCCAAAAAACCCUAGGAAAAAGAUAGUGAGAGAAGAGCUAACAGAUUUCAGAGCAACCUCCAGAGACUGAAGGGAACUCAUCUGCAAAGAGCC